rnacentral:rRNA from 1 species
UACGGAGGGUGCGAGCGUUGUUCGGAAUUACUGGGCGUAAAGCGCGCGCAGGCGGUUUUCCACGUCUGUGGUGAAAGCCCGGAGCUCAACUCCGGAAAUGCCAUUGAAACUGUAAAACUUGAGUACGAGAGAGGUGAGUGGAAUUCCCAGUGUAGAGGUGAAAUUCGUAGAUAUUGGGAAGAACACCGGUGGCGAAGGCGGCUCACUGGCUCGUAACUGACGCUCAGGCGCGAUAGCGUGGGGAUCAAACAGG